rnacentral:rRNA from 1 species
ACAUAACUGAUGCCUCCGCGUAUCGACUUUGUGCGCAUUUUAGCUAUUAUGUGUUCUUUUAAUUAAAAUGAUUCUUUUUAAGAUUCAUCUAUUAAAAAUUUGCUUCGGCAUAAUUUUUUUUGAUGAUCUUGUUACUUUGAGUAAAUUAGAGUGUUCAAAGCAAACAGAUAUAGCAUUUGUGCGUUUGAAUACUACAGCAUGGAAUAACAAAAUUGAACAAGUCAGAAUUUUUUUGUUCUUUUUUCUUAUUUUGGCUUAGUUACGAUUAAUAGGAGUAGCUUGGGGGCAUUUGUAUUCAGAUGUCAGAGGUGAAAUUCUUAGAUUUUCUGGAGACAAACAACUGCGAAAGCAUUUGCCUAAAAUACUUCCAUUAAUCAAGAACGAAAGUUAAGGGAGUGAAGACGAUCAGAUACCGUCGUAAUCUUAACCAUAAACUAUGCCGACUAGGCUUUGGAUGAAAGAUUUUAAAAUAAGAGUUUUUCUUUUCUCUCCGGAGAUUAGAACUCUUAGAUUGCUUCCUUCAGUGCCUUAUGAGAAAUCAAAGUCUUUGGGUUCUGGGGCGAGUAUUCGCGCAAGCGAGAAAGUUAAAAGAAUUGACGGAAGGGCACCACCAGGCGUGGAGCUUGCGGCUUAAUUUGACUCAACACGGGAAAACUCACUAGUUUAAGACAAGAGUAGGAUUGACAGAUUAAUAGCUCUUUCUUGAUUUCUUGGAUGGUGAUGCAUGGCCGUUUUUAGUUCGUGAAUAUGAUUUGUCUGGUUAAUUCCGAUAACGAACGAGAUCUUAACCUGCUAAUUAGCGGCAAAUACGAUAUAUUCUUAUGUAGAAUUGAAUAUAGUGGAUUUGUUGGAUUUUGAAGAAAAUAUUGGAAUUACGUUUAAAUGUGAUUCCUUUCCCUUUUCUACUUAAUUUGCAUUUCCAUCUAUUUCUUUUUUGCGUAUGAAUGUAUUUGCUUGAUUGUAAAGCUUCUUAGAGGAACGAUGUGUG